rnacentral:rRNA from 1 species
AUUGAACGCUGGCGGCAGGCCUAACACAUGCAAGUCGAACGAGUGGCGGACGGGUGAGUAAUGUCUGGGAAACUGCCCGAUGGAGGGGGAUAACUACUGGAAACGGUGGCUAAUACCGCAUACCAUCGGAUGUGCCCAGGUGGGAUUAGCUAGUGGGUGGGGUAACGGCUCACCAAGGCGACGAUGCCUAGCUGGUCUGAGAGGGUGACCAGCCACACUGGGACUGAGACACGGCCCAGACUCCUACGGGAGGCAGCAGUAGGGAAUAUUGCGCAAUGGGCGCAAGCCUGAUGGAGCAAUGCCGCGUGUGUGAAGAAGGCUUUCGGGUUGUAAAGUACUUUUAGCGAGGAGGCGGUACUCGACGAGGAAGCACCGGCUAACUCCGUGCCAGCAGCCGCGGUAAUUC